AAACUCUCAAGCUAUGCUUGGUAUUGGAAGAUGUCCUUUGGACCCUUCUGUAACUUGUCAGUGCGGGACCUACCGGCUUCAAGCGUAGCAAAACUUUCGCUUCGUGGUUUGGUGGGCUCUUGUCUAACAACUCUUACUUUUCAA
rnacentral:misc_RNA from 1 species